rnacentral:ncRNA from 1 species
AAAAAAGUUUUAUUUUAGUUUAAAAUAAAUUAUAUUUUCUUAAGAUUUACAUGUAAAUUUUUUUAUUUAGAGAGUUUAUUAGCAGUAUUUAAUUUUAAAAAUAUUAUUAUAAAGGAUUUGGUUAUAAGUUUAAAUUUUAACAAAUUUUGUGCCAGCAGUUGCGGUUAUACAAUUAUAAGUGAUAUAAUUUUUUUAAUUAUUAUUUAGUUAAAUUAAUGUUAAGAUUAUUAUAUACUAAUUUUAGGUGAAAUUUUAUUGGUUAAAAUAAUCUUAUGUUUUAAAGAUUGAAACUAAGAAUUCUAUUUUUUAGACAAGGAUUAGAGACCCUUUUAUUUUAGGUGUUAAUUAUUUGAUUAAUUAGUAUUAGUUAUUUUCUUGAAAUUUAAAAAAUUUGGCGGUGUUUUAGACUAGUUAGAGGAAUCUGUUCUGUUAUUGAUAUUCCACGAUAAUAAGUACUUAAAAUUUGUUUGUAUAUCGUUGUUGUUAAAAAUUUUAUUAAAAUUUUAAUUUUUAUUAUUUUUAAUUAAAAAAUAAUUCAAAUCAAGGUGCAGCUUUUUUAAGGUAGAAAUGGAUUACAAAAAAGUUAUUUUAGGAUUUGUUAAUAAGAAUUAAUUUUGAAUUUGGAUUUAAAAGUAAUUUAAAUUUUUUUGUUUAAGUGAUUAUUGGCUCUGAAAUAUGUACAUAUCGCCCGUCGCUUUCAUUAUUAAUUUGAAAUAAGUCGUAACAUAGUAGAUUAACCGGAAGGUGAAUCUAGAAAGU